UACAGAGGGUGCAAGCGUUGCUCGGAAUCAUUGGGCGUAAAGGGCACGUAGGUGGUCUCAUUUGUCUGAUGUGAAAGCCUUGGGCUUAACCCAAGAAGUGCGUCAGAAACGGUGAGACUCGAGUUCUGGAGAGGGUCGUGGAAUUCCCGGUGUAGCGGUGAAAUGCGUAGAGAUCGGGAGGAACACCAGAGGCGAAGGCGGCGACCUGGACAGAUACUGACACUCAACUGCGAAAGCGUGGGGAGCAAACAGG
rnacentral:rRNA from 1 species